rnacentral:tRNA from 1 species
AAUAGUUUAUAUCAAUUUUUAUAUUAUUAUGUAAGAUUAAUGUGUGUAUAUUGUAUAACUAUUG